rnacentral:rRNA from 1 species
UGGGGAAUAUUGGACAAUGGGCGCAAGCCUGAUCCAGCAACGCCGCGUGGAGGAUGAAGGUCUUCGGAUCGUAAACUCCUGUCAGAUGGGACGAAGGUGCCGGGGUGAACAAUCCCGGUAUUUGACGGUACCAUCAGAGGAAGCCCCGGCUAACUCCGUGCCAGCAGCCGCGGUAAUACGGAGGGGGCGAGCGUUAUUCGGAAUUAUUGGGCGUAAAGGGCGCGUAGGCGGCGCGAUAAGUCAAAGGUGAAAUCCCUCGGCUCAACUGAGGAACUGCCUUUGAGACUGUCGUGCUCGAGGCCGGGAGGGGGUAGCGGAAUUCCCAGUGUAGCGGUGAAAUGCGUAGAUAUUGGGAGGAACACCAGUGGCGAAGGCGGCUACCUGGACCGGUUCUGACGCUGAUGCGCGAAAGCGUGGGUAGCAAACAG